rnacentral:lncRNA from 1 species
CUGGGCCUGGGGACAGGGGGACACCUCAGGGACACCUCGGGGACACCCCCAGGGACACCCCCAGGGACACCUUGGGGACAUGAGGACACUCCAAGGGACACCCCCAGGGACAUCCCCAGGGACACGGGGACAGCAAGGGGACAACCCCCAGGGAUGUCCCUCAGUGUCCCCUCACUGUCCCCACAAUGCGCCCUCAGUGUCCCCUCACUGUCCCCACAAUGUCUCCUGGAUAUUCCCACAACGUCACCUCAGUGUCCCCUCAGUGUUCCUUUGAUAUCCCCUCAAUGUCCCCUCACUGUCCCCGCCAUGUCCCCACAAGGUCUCCUUGACAUUCCCACAAUGUCCCCUCAAUGUUCUGUCAAUGUCCCCACAGUGUCCCGUCAAUGUCCCCUCACUGUCCCCACAGUGUCUCCUCGACAUUCCCACAAUGUCCCCUCAGAAUCCCCUCAGUGUCCCCUCAGUGUCCCCUCAAUGUCCCCUCAGUGUCCCCUCAGUGUUCCUUUGAUAUCCCCUCAAUGUCCCCUCCAUGCCCCCUCACUGUCCCCACAAGGUCUCCUCGACAUUCCCACAAUGUCUCCUCAAAGUUUGUCAAUGUCCCCACAAUGUCACCUCAAUGUCCCCUCAAUGUUCUGUCAAUGUCCCCAUAAUGUCACCUCGAUGUCCCCUCACUGUCCCCACAAGGUCUCCUCAAUGUUCCCACAAUGUCCCCUCAAAGUUUGUCAAUGUCCCCACAAUGUCACCUCAAUGUCCCCUCAAUGUUCUGUCAAUGUCCACUCACUGUCCCCAUGGUUUCUCCUUAAUGUCCCCACAACGAGCCCUCAAUGUCUCUUCCAAGUUCUCUCAAUGUCCCCUCAAUGUCCCCUCAAAGUUCACGCAAUGUCCCCUCAAUGUCCCCUCAAAGUUCUCUCAAUGUCCCCUCAAUGUCCCCUCAGUAUCAUCUCAAUGUCCCCUCAAUGUCCCCUUGAUAUCCUCCAAUGUCCCCAGUGUUCUCUCAAUGUCCCCUCAAUAUCACCUCAAUAUCCCCUCAAUGUCCCUUCAAAGUCCUCUCAAUGUCCCCUCAAAGUCCUCUCAGUGUCCUCUUGAUAUCCCCCAAUGUCCCCUCAAUGUUGUCUCAAUGUCCCCUCAAAGUUCUCUCAAUGUCCCCUCAAGAUCAUCUCAACGUCCCCUCAAUGUCCCCUUGAUGUCCCCCAAUGUCCCCUCCAUGUCCCCACAAUGUCUCCUCAAUAUUCCCACAAUGUCACCUCAAUGUUCCAUCAAUGUNNNNNNNNNNUCAAUAUUCCCACAAUGUCACCUCAAUGUUCCAUCAAUGUCCCCUCAAUGUCCCCUCAA